CCAUCCAUCCACCCAUCCAUCCAUCCACCCAUCCAUCCAUCCAUCCAUCCAUCCAUCCAUCCAUCCAUCCAUCCAUCCAUCCAUCCAUCCAUCCAUCCAUCCCCGCUUCUCCUUGCAGGCUUGCCAGGUAUUUCAAUCAGUGAACUAAAAUCUGGAUUUAGAUUUCAUUUUGAUCCAAUCAUGUAAAAUAUAUCAAGGCUCUGUGAACUCCUUUGACCUUCUAUUCUGCAUAAACAGUGAAGACAGGAUUAUCUCGUCACAGCACCUCGCUCUGGGGAACGUCUCUUUGUGGUUUGCUAAACGUAGAUGGGGUGGCAGAGGCACCGGCUUCACUCUGAACGAAAACCAGGCACUCCAACUUUGUCGGCUUGUGUUUGAGCUUAUAAAGUGUGAACAAUUUGCUGAAAUGCAAACAUCUAAAGUAAAACACAAGUUCCCUCAUGUGCACAUCUUCUGAUUAUCAAAAAAAAAAGGCUGUGAAUUGAUCAAAAGCUCUACUCACCCCGCUAUUCAGUCGUUGUUGUUUUGCUGGGAUGUGUUUUAUCCUCCUUGUUCAUUCUCUCACUUUUUUAACCUCACGUUCACUUGUCAGGGCGGUGCUCCCAUAUUCUUCCUUUUUUAGUAAUUUUCCUUUAUUCCUCCAGUUUUUGAGUUUCUUCUUUUAGUUUCACGCUUGUUGCACAUCUCUUAUUUCAUCCCAGUUGUGUUUGUCUUUUUAAUCCUUCAUUGUCCUCCUCUUCCUCCUUCACUGAUUGUAAUCCUGUCUACUCUACUGUGCUGUGUGAACUCACAGAACAGACUGGAAGUGCUGCGUCAAUCAGAGCAGGGCAUGAUGGGAGGGGGAGACGGAGAGGAAAGGAGACGAUCAGGAGCUUCCUCCCUGUCUGAGCAUCCGUCUUACUUACAGGCACCCCAGGUAAAGAUGUGGGGAAAGAAUAAAACAUUCUUUAUUGUAGAAGUGCAUUUAUUCUGUGGGGAAAAUAAAAUAAAAUAAUAAUAAUAAGUUUAUUGUUUGAACAAAAUCCUCUCUGUCAGCCUUAUCUCUUCUUGCAAACUCUGUAAAAUGAAUAUACCAAAAUAUUUUCUCAUAAUUUGUAAUAAACCUUUUUUGAGUUGA